rnacentral:rRNA from 1 species
ACCUCAAAUCAGGUAAGAAUACCCGCUGAACUUAAGCAUAUCAAUAAGCGGAGGAAAAGAAAAUAACAAUGAUUCCCUCAGUAACGGCGAGCGAAGAGGGAUAAGCUCAAAUUUUAAAUCUGUUGGGUUCCACUUAACAGAGUUGUAUUUUGAAGAAACGUUUUCUGCAUCCAGGAUUAGCCUAAAUCCUUUGGGAUAAGGUAUCAUGGAGGGUGAGAAUCCCGUUCAUGGUUAAUCUUAAGGAAGCUCUACGAUACGUUUUCCAAGAGUCGAGUUGUUUGGGAUUGCAGCUCAAAAUGGGAGGUAAAUUUCUCCUAAGGCUAAAUAUUGGCGAGAGACCGAUAGCGAACAAGUACCGUGAGGGAAAGAUGAAAAGAACUUUGAAAAGAGAGUUAAACAGUACGUGAAAUUGUUGAAAGGGAAACGAUUGAAGUCAGUCAUACCAACGGGAAAUCAACCUUUUGAGCUCGGUCUCGUGGGUUUUGAAGAGUUUCAAAGCCUUCGGAUUCGCGGGAUUGGGAUCUCUUGGUGUACUUUUUCGUACGGUUAGUCAACAUCGGUUUUGAAUGUCAUAAAAUGACUGGAGGAAUGUAGCUUCGAUCUCGUAUUGAAGUGUUAUAGCCUUUGGUAGAUGUGAUGUUUGAGACCGAGGAUUGCAACGGAUACCCUUUAGGGCUAUUCGUCUGAUCUCUGAUACGUUGCCUUGAUGUUGAAAGCUUGCUUAUGAUGUUAGGGUAUUACGGUCAAAAGGUUAGAACGGAUUAGAUUCGUUAAGGAUGUUGACGUAAUGACUUUAAACGACCCGUCUUGAAACACGGACCAAGGAGUCUAACAUAUAUGCGAGUGUUA